AGUUCCAACCUGAGUGUGGGAGCAUGGUUAACAUGAGUUCGGAGACCCCUCGAGAAAGGGGUUUCUAUGGAACCACUGAAGACCCCAGGACUGGGGCUUUCUGCAGAGACCCCCGGGACGGGGGAUUCGACUCUGCAUGCCAGCUUUCGGAGACCCCCGGGACGGGGGUUUCUGUCAAGCCACCUUGGAGACCCCAGGACUGGGGUCUUCCGCUGAGACUGGCGGAUUCUGCAGACCCCCGGGGUGGGGGUUUGUGCGAAACCACUUUGCAGACCCCCAGGACUGGGGGUUGUCUACAGAGACCCUCAGGAUGGGGGGUUUCUGGACACUUAAUUUUGGAGGCCCCCUGUGAUGGGGGGGAUCCGCAGACUUACUUUUGGAGUCCCCCCGUGACGGGGGGAUUCUGCAGACUCAAUUUGAAUGCAAUGUUAAAAAAAGCGUCAUUCGUACCCGGAUGAGGUGUCUUACCCGCUGCAGAUGCGUGGCGAAUGGGGGUGCAGUCUCCUUCAGGGAGUCUGUGCUUGGGCUUGAAGUGCACUCUCCAGACUUGUAGGAGUGUGUCCGCCUCGAGGGUGCGUCUGACCCGGUGUCACCAGCUGCGAGUUUUGGGGACUCUGGCCUCCUGCAUGGGAGGACGAAGGCUGGUGACUUCCGUGAACGGUCUUCCCUGCACUCCCCCUCCGGGGGGAGUACUAUUCCUCACAGUAUCUUGAAUGCAGAAAAAAAGUAGGACUUUAAUGUCUGAAAAAAAUUAAUGAUGACAACUCUGAGCAGUGGAUCACUCGGCUCACGGGUCGAUGAAGAACGCAGCCAGCUGCGAGACUUGGUGUGAAUUGCAGGACACAUUGAGCACUUACUUUUCGAACGCACAUUGCGGCCUCGGGUCCUACCCGGGGCCACGUCUGUCUGAGGGUCGGAUUAUGCUUGCAGAAGGGAGUUUCUUCCUGAUUGGUUGUGCCGGAUGCGUCCGCCGACCUAAAUUGUGCGAGUUUUCGACCCCGGCCGAGAGGCAUGCCACGAGAGGAUGUCCGAGAGCGGGAGUGGCGAAGUGCCUGCCUGCAAGCUUGGACCAGUGGUGGAAGCCUGUGCUGGGGAAUUCAGAUGUGGAGUCAAUCUCCUACUUAACUUUGUCGACCUCAGAUCAGGCGAGACGACCCGCUGAAUUUAAGCAUAUAACUAAGCGGAGGAAAAGAAACCAACCAGGAUUCCCUC
rnacentral:rRNA from 1 species